CAAGUAAACUGGGUGGCCGCCGUUUCAGGGGACAUUAACCCUGAAAGGGAGGAAAGUCCGGGCUCCAUCGGGCAAGGUGCUGGGUAACACCCAGGAGGGGUAACCCUACGGAAAGUGCCACAGAAACAUACCGCCUUGGCUAUGCCAGGGUAAGGGUGAAACGGUGAGGCAAGAGCUCACCAGCGGCUGAGCGAUCAGCCGGCUAGGCAAACCCCACCUGGAGCAAGACCAAAUAGGAGGACCGUGAGGCUGCCCGACCGAUGUCCUCGGGUUGGUCGCUCGAUCCUGGUGGCAACGCCAGGGCUAGAUAGAUGGUCACCAGCCUGGCUAACAGGUCAGGCUACAAAACCCGGCUUACAGGUUUACUUGGUCC
rnacentral:RNase_P_RNA from 2 species